rnacentral:rRNA from 1 species
AUUGAACGCUGGCGGCAGGCUUAACACAUGCAAGUCGAGCGGGGGAAGGUAGCUUGCUACCGGACCUAGCGGCGGACGGGUGAGUAAUGCUUAGGAAUCUGCCUAUUAGUGGGGGACAACAUCUCGAAAGGGAUGCUAAUACCGCAUACGUCCUACGGGAGAAAGCAGGGGAUCUUCGGACCUUGCGCUAAUAGAUGAGCCUAAGUCGGAUUAGCUAGUUGGUGGGGUAAAGGCCUACCAAGGCGACGAUCUGUAGCGGGUCUGAGAGGAUGAUCCGCCACACUGGGGCUGGGACACGGCCCAGAGUCCUACGGGAGGCAGCAGUGGGGAAUAUUGGACAAUGGGGGGAACCCUGAUCCAGCCAUGCCGCGUGUGUGAAGAAGGCCUUAUGGUUGUAAAGCACUUUAAGCGAGGAGGAGGCUACUCUAGUUAAUACCUAGGGAUAGUGGACGUUACUCGCAGAAUAAGCACCGGCUAACUCUGUGCCAGCAGCCGCGGUAA